AUUGCCUCAGUAACGGCGAGUGAAGCGGCAAGAGCUCAAAUUUGAAAUCUGGCUCCUUCGGGGCCGAGUUGUAAUUUGGAGAGGAUGCUUCGGGCGUGGCCCCCAUCUAAGUGCCCUGGAACGGGCCGUCAUAGAGGGUGAGAAUCCCGUCUGGGAUGGGUGGUCCCGCCCGUGUGAAGCUCCUUCGAAGAGUCGAGUUGUUUGGGAAUGCAGCUCUAAGAGGGUGGUAAAUUUCAUCUAAAGCUAAAUAUUGGCCGGAGACCGAUAGCGCACAAGUAGAGUGAUCGAAAGAUGAAAAGCACUUUGAAAAGAGAGUUAAACAGCACGUGAAAUUGUUGAAAGGGAAGCGUUGGCAACCAGACUCGCCCGGGAGGGCUCAGCCGGCACGUGUGCCGGUGCACUCCCCCCCGGGCGGGCCAGCGUCGGUUUGGGCGGUCGGUCAAAGGCCCCGGGAACGUAGCACCCUCCGGGGUGCCUUAUAGCCCGAGGCGCCAUGCGACCUGCCCGGACCGAGGAACGCGCUCCGGCUCGGACGCUGGCGUAAUGGUUGUCAACGGCCCGUCUUGAAACACGGACCAAGGAGUCUAACAUCUAUGCGAGUGUUCGGGUGUCAAACCCGUCCGCGCAGUGAAAGCGAACGGAGGUGGGAACCCCCCCGGGGGUGCACCAUCGACCGAUCCUGAUGUCUUCGGAUGGAUUUGAGUAAGAGCAUAGCUGUUGGGACCCGAAAGAUGGUGAACUAUGCCUGAAUAGGGCGAAGCCAGAGGAAACUCUGGUGGAGGCUCGCAGCGGUUCUGACGUGCAAAUCGAUCGUCAAAUUUGGG
rnacentral:rRNA from 1 species